rnacentral:ncRNA from 1 species
CUACUCAUGAGCGCUUGAGGUGCUGACCGGUUCAUGCGACCGGUCGGAGAAUUGGGAAGCCGGUCACGAAUCCGGCGCUGCCCCCGCAACGGUAGCAGAACUGAAAUGCGACAGAACCCACUGGGCAAGAUGCCUGGGAAGGGGUCGCAUGGGUCCGAAAGGACGGUUCUGGAGCCCGGAAACCAGCCUCGGGAUUUUGAACUCG